CCCUACGGGGCGCAGCAGUGGGGAAUCUUGGACAAUGGGCGCAAGCCUGAUCCAGCAAUGCCGCGUGGGUGAAGACGGCCUGCGGGUUGUAAAGCCCUUUUCGCGGGGACGAAAGCCCUGGGUUGAACAGACUCAGGGGGUGACGGUACCGGCGGAAGAAGCACCGGCCAACUCCGUGCCAGCAGCCGCGGUAAGACGGAGGGUGCGAGCGUUAAUCGGAAUUACUGGGCGUAAAGCGCACGUAGGCGGUGGUGUCAGUCCGUUGUGAAAGCCCCGGGCUUAACCUGGGAAUGGCAAGGGCGACGGCACUACUAGAGUGUAACAGAGGACCGUGGAAUUCCCGGUGUAGCGGUGAAAUGCGUAGAGAUCGGGAAGAACACCGAUGGCGAAGGCAGCGGUCUGGGUUAACACUGACGCUGAGGGGCGACAGCGUGGGGAGCAAACAGGCUUAGAUACCCCUGUAGUCCC
rnacentral:rRNA from 1 species